AGACGACGCUGGCGGGCGUGCCUAACACAUGCAAGUCGAACGGAGAGGACUGAAGUAUUUCGGUACGGAAUGCUCUCUUAGUGGCGAACGGGUGAGUAACACGUGGGCAACCUGCCCCAGACGUGGGGGAUAACAUUGUGAAAACAGUGCUAAUACCGCAUGACAGGGUUCCGGGCAUCCGGGACCCUUGAAAGGAGAAAUCCGGUCAGGGAUGGGCCCGCGUCCAAUUAGCUAGUUGGCGGGGUAACGGCCCACCAAGGCGACGAUUGGUAGCCGAACUGAGAGGUUGAUCGGCCACAUUGGGACUGAGACACGGCCCAGACUCCUACGGGAGGCAGCAGUGGGGAAUAUUGGGCAAUGGGCGAAAGCCUGACCCAGCGACGCCGCGUGAAGGAUGAAGGUCUUCGGAUUGUAAACUUCUUUGAUCAGGGAAGAAAGAAAUGACGGUACCUGAAAAACAAGCCACGGCUAACUACGUG
rnacentral:rRNA from 1 species